GCCGAAACCACUAAGCGUUUUGCAUCGAUACGUUUUUUUUUUCGGGAUACUGCAUGACUGCAUAGUAAACUAUCAAUGUACUAGUUAAUGUUCUCGAGGGGUGACCCUAUUACAGAGACAGAUAUACACAUAUGUGUAAAUAUGUCUCUGCCCUAUUACGUGUCAGUAACCUCCUCGACACGGUUCAUUUUUACGGCGGCUCAGUUUUGUCUUAAGAAUAAACAUAAUUGAUAAGUUUCUUUCCCCUGCAUUUCUCGAUCGCACUUGUAAAUAGCACAUUGGUCUCAAGACAUUGGUUACAACACUUGCCGUCAGUACUCAAAAUUGGAAAAAUAUUAAAUAAGAAGGUAUAGAAAAUUAAAUUAAUGCACACACACUAUUAUCAACCACAGACAUGAUGUUUUUUUCUCAAUUUGCCUAAAUCGUUAUUCCGCAAUACAACGAGGGUGAAAACCCACCACUUUGAACACAGUCACAGGCACCGGCAUGCUGUGAACUUGUUGCCAGCAAGAUGAAAAGAACAAUGCAGUUCAAAAGUCAAAAUGUGGAUAAGCUGCGGUACAAGGUCCUACUUUUGCAGAUUUUCAUAUUUUGCAUGAAUGAAUUUGAAGUUUAUAUCCUGGAGGGCAGAGAAAGAAAAGAAACACUUCAGUUUUCCUGCUUCUGAAGGAUAAAUGUAAAACAUCUUGUUUGAAGGAUUGGAAUUCAUCACUGAGAAUAGAAGGAGAAAACACAGAAACAAGACCAAAAUAAAUUCAAAGACAAAAGUCAGAUCAGUUAUUAUUUUCAUCACUCAGCCAAUGAAUUGCAGUUCUAUUAAAUAUCUAAAGAUAUUAAAACCACAAUAAUGACAAUGUUGUGUGCUGAAUGGCAAAAAAAGUGGACUAUACAUUACGAUCACACAAUGCUGGAUGAUAAGAAACUAUUAAUUUUUUGGGUGGAGGGAUAUCCUGAAAAAAAAAUAGAUUUAUGUAAAAAGCUACUAGUAUGUUAAGACUAUUAAUAGAGUUUUCAUUGAUUUCAAAUGGGAAAAAAUUGUGUUUCAAAAAAGUGUUCUAGAAUUCAUAAAUAAACAUAUAUUGAUACUUA